rnacentral:rRNA from 1 species
GAUGAACGCUAGCGGCAGGCUUAACACAUGCAAGUCGAGGGGUAGGUUACUUCGGUAAUUGAGACCGGCGCACGGGUGCGUAACGCGUAUACAAUCUACCUUUUACAGAGGGAUAGCCCAGAGAAAUUUGGAUUAAUACCUCAUAGUAUUUUUGAAUCGCAUGAUUUGAUUAUUAAAGUUCCAACGGUAAAAGAUGAGUAUGCGUCCCAUUAGCUAGAUGGUAAGGUAACGGCUUACCAUGGCUACGAUGGGUAGGGGUCCUGAGAGGGAGAUCCCCCCANACUGGUACUGAGACACGGACCAGACUCCUACGGGAGGCAGCAGUGAGGAAUAUUGGACAAUGGGCGCAAGCCUGAUCCAGCCAUGCCGCGUGCAGGAAGAAGGUCCUAUGGAUUGUAAACUGCUUUUAUACAGGAAGAAACACUCCCUCGUGAGGGAACUUGACGGUACUGUAUGAAUAAGGCCGGCUAACUCCGUGCCAGCAGCCG